CACAAUGGCAAUUUCCUUUGGUUGCGGUGGCGCAUUGUUUCUUGUGCUGAUGUGUCCCACUGUGGUAGUUGCUUUUGCUUAGGCUUUGGGGAUGAGCAUGAUGCUUUUACUUUGUCAACACGUGCGAUUGCUUAGGUGAGGGCAUGGCAUUUCAUGCCACCUAUUUCUCCGAACCGACACAUGAGCUGUCGAGGCAUAUGUUGAAGUAUUGUACGACGAGUUUCUUUGGUUGC
rnacentral:lncRNA from 1 species